UACGUAGGGUGCAAGCGUUGUCCGGAAUUAUUGGGCGUAAAGAGCUCGUAGGCGGUGUGUCACGUCGGCCGUGAAAACCUGCAGCUUAACUGUGGGCGUGCGGUCGAUACGGGCAUCACUGGAGUUCGGCAGGGGAGACUGGAAUUCCUGGUGUAGCGGUGAAAUGCGCAGAUAUCGGGAGGAACACCGGUGGCGAAGGCGGUUCUCUGGGCCUUACCUGACGCUGAGGAGCGAAAGCGUGGGGAGCGAACAGG
rnacentral:rRNA from 1 species